UACGUAGGGUGCAAGCGUUGUCCGGAAUUAUUGGGCGUAAAGGGCUCGUAGGCGGUCUGUCACGUCGGGAGUGAAAACUCAGGGCUUAACCCUGAGCCUGCUUCCGAUACGGGCAGACUAGAGGUAUGCAGGGGAGAACGGAAUUCCUGGUGUAGCGGUGAAAUGCGCAGAUAUCAGGAGGAACACCGGUGGCGAAGGCGGCUCUCUGGACCACUACUGACGCUGAGGCGCGAAAGCUAGGGGAGCAAACAGG
rnacentral:rRNA from 1 species